rnacentral:rRNA from 1 species
UACGUAGGGGGCAAGCGUUGUUCGGAAUUACUGGGCGUAAAGGGCGCGUAGGCGGCCUGCUAAGUCGAACGUGAAAUCCCCGAGCUCAACUCGGGAACUGCGUCCGAUACUGGCAGGCUUGAAUCCGGGAGAGGGAUGCGGAAUUCCAGGUGUAGCGGUGAAAUGCGUAGAUAUCUGGAGGAACACCGGUGGCGAAGGCGGCAUCCUGGACCGGCAUUGACGCUGAGGCGCGAAAGCCAGGGGAGCAAACGGG